GGGGUAGCUGUUUAUAUAUAUAUAUAUAUAUAUAUAUAUCCAUCUAAAAUAGGCAGGAGCACUCACUUGUUAAAAGUAAAAAAUUUAUUAGAACAUCUUUAAAAAAGAUCAGCGUUUCAGUCCUGCAUAGAGGACUUUCAUCAGGAUCAUCCAUAUCAACUUUUGAUGCCAGUUUCUGUGCCUACCAUUGUGACCACGGGUAAUGGGGAAUCAGGGUUCCAUUCCAUACAGAAACGGCUACCACAUGCAAGUAGGCAGCAGGUGCGCAAAUGACCCACUCCCGAUGCGGGAAGGUAG